GCACUUUUUAUCAUGGCUUCAAAUACUCCCCCGAAAUGUGGGCUAGCUGGAGGGUUGAAAUGCCAUUCGAUGUGAGAGAAUCGCGAACUGUCCCGAACAAUCUUCUCUUGGUCUAAUUGUUCAACAAGUUCUCUCAGUUCUCGUUCUCCUGAAACGAAGUUGGUACCGUUAUCUGAUACAACGUACGAAGGCAUCCCCCUCCGUGACACCAUCCGGGCGAAUGCAUUCAUAAACGAAUCUGUGUCUAAUGCAUAGGCCAUUUCCAAAUGUACCGCGCGUGUCACGAGACAAGUAAAUAAACAGAGAUAUCUUUUUGCUCUACUCUUGCCGCGACCUUGUUUUGUCAGGUAUGGGCCUCCGUAGUCUACUCCUACUCGACAGAAGGCUUUCAUCGAUGAAAUUACUCUUGGUCUCGGCAGCGGUGCCAUCAUUUGACCAAUAGGUUUAGCAGUAAAGCGUUUCUUACACACUUGGCAAUGAUUAAGAAUUUUACGUACUACAGCCCGUCCUCUUAUCACCCAAAACCUACUACGUAAUUCGGAAAGAGUGUGUUCUACUCCAGAACCAUGUCCGAGUUGUUC